rnacentral:rRNA from 1 species
AGAGUUUGAUCCUGGCUCAGAACGAACGCUGGCGGCGUGCUUAACACAUGCAAGUCGAACGCGAAAGGGACUUCGGUCCUGAGUAAAGUGGCGCACGGGUGAGUAACGCGUGGAUAAUCUACCCGAUGAUCUGGGAUAACAUUUCGAAAGGGGUGCUAAUACCGGAUAAGACCACGGUUUCUUCGGAGACUGCGGUAAAAGGUGGGGACCUUCGGGCCUACCGUUAUCGGAUGAGUCCGCGUACCAUUAGCUAGUUGGUGGGGUAAGAGCCCACCAAGGCGACGAUGGUUAGCUGGUCUGAGAGGAUGAUCAGCCACACUGGAACUGAGACACGGUCCAGACUCCUACGGGAGGCAGCAGUGGGGAAUUUUGCGCAAUGGGGGAAACCCUGACGCAGCAACGCCGCGUGAGUGAUGAAGGCCUUCGGGUCGUAAAGCUCUGUCAGAGGGAAAGAAGUGCAGUGGUGCUAAUACCAUCAUUGCUUGACGGUACCCUCAAAGGAAGCACCGGCUAACUCCGUGCCAGCAGCCGCGGUAAUACGGAGGGUGCGAGCGUUGUUCGGAAUUAUUGGGCGUAAAGCGCGUGCAGGCGGUCUUUUAAGUCUGAUGUGAAAGCCCCGGGCUCAACCUGGGAAGUGCAUUGGAAACUGGGAGACUUGAAUACGGGAGAGGGUAGUGGAAU